rnacentral:rRNA from 1 species
UACGUAGGGUGCAAGCGUUAAUCGGAAUUACUGGGCGUAAAGCGUGCGCAGGCGGUCUUUUAAGUCAGAUGUGAAAUCCCCGGGCUUAACCUGGGAAUUGCGCUUGAAACUAGCGGGCUUGAGUGUGGCAGAGGGGGGUGGAAUUCCACGUGUAGCAGUGAAAUGCGUAGAGAUGUGGAGGAACACCGAUGGCGAAGGCAGCCCCCUGGGUCAACACUGACGCUCAUGCACGAAAGCGUGGGGAGCAAACAGG